rfam:Nelumbo nucifera unplaced genomic scaffold scaffold00087, whole genome shotgun sequence
CCGACCUUAGCUCAGUUGGUAGAGUGGAGGACUGUAGUUGGAUUUCAACCUUCAGACAUCCUUAGGUCGCUGGUUCGAAUCCGGCAGGUCGGA